rnacentral:rRNA from 1 species
AUUGAACGCUGGCGGCAUGCUUUACACAUGCAAGUCGAACGGUAACAGGUUAAGCUGACGAGUGGCGAACGGGUGAGUAAUGCAUCGGAACGUGUCCGGUCGUGGGGGAUAACACUUCGAAAGAAGUGCUAAUACCGCAUACGAUCUGAGGAUGAAAGCGGGGGACCGUAAGGCCUCGAGCGAUCGGAGCGGCCGAUGUCAGAUUAGGUAGUUGGUGGGGUAAAGGCUCACCAAGCCGACGAUCUGGAGCUGGUCUGAGAGGACGACCAGCCACACUGGGACUGAGACACGGCCCAGACUCCUACGGGAGGCAGCAGUGGGGAAUUUUGGACAAUGGGCGCAAGCCUGAUCCAGCAAUGCCGCGUGCAGGAAGAAGGCCUUCGGGUUGUAAACUGCUUUUGUACGGAGCGAAAAGGCUCUCUCUAAUACAGGGGGCUCAUGACGGUACCGUAAGAAUAAGCACCGGCUAACUACGUGCCAGCCGCCGCGGUAA